UGGAGCAUUCUAUCCACUUCACCACCAGACUGCCCCCAGCAAACAUAAAAAUGCUACGUAAAUAACAGCUGUUCUCUUCCGGUGCUCCUUAAGUGGUCAGGGUUAGACUUGAUGACCCCCCCCCCCGACCCUUCCCCUUUUGAUUGCAUCAGUCUAGGGAACUCCCGGUGUGGAAAAGCCCUCCACCGAUGUAGCUCAGUCCAUAAUAGCUUAGAGACUUAAGAGAGGGCACUAAAGGUGAGGCGGCUUGCUCAGCGUCAAACAGCCAGCAUGUGUCAGAGAACUGGGCUUGAGCCUGGGCCUCCCUGUCUCUGACAUCAGCCCCCAGACCACUUCUCUUUAUGAGGUCACUGUGAAUGCACCGAAUGCGUCAGGGAAUCUGGGUGCGCUCCAGACUUAGGGGCCCCAGUCUAUGGCCCCUCAGAGACUCAAUGAUUUGGGGCUGGAUGAGAGCCUAGACAUUGAGCCCAGCUCUUCCAUCAGGCUCUGAGCUCCUGGGAGGCAGGAGCCCUGUUUUUGCCCUUCUUUGGGUACAGGACAAUAGCACUUUAGCAAUGCCUGUGAGCUGAAUUACAGAUGAGGAAAGUGGAACUCUGGGAACAGAAAUGACUUACCCAAGGCCACCCACCUAUGCAAGGAACCUACCGGGGCUUCCAACCCAUCCCCCUUUCCCCUGCACUGGACUCUCUCCAUCCAGCUCUCCUGACUGUCUCAGAGCUCAGGAGAAAGACUGGGGCUUUGGAAACCAUCAGCACUUUUCCUGUUCCGUUUUCUUCUUUAUUUCACCACUUUAUCAUUCCCAGGCAAUGCUGAGGUAGUUCCCCCCAGCCCCCACCCCUAAUUUUAUAUUGCAGAUGGACAGCCACCCUGUGAUGGACAAAACCAGCUUACACCUGGGCAUGGAUCUGACCUUGCCAUCUUGCACAAGCUUUCCAACUUUGCUCAAGGUCACUCGAAUUUGAGAAAGUUUCUUAAGUGUUUUAACGGUGAGUGUCAAUCUACUUUGGUAACUCCGUAACAUCCACCCCUGACUCCUGGUUCUGCCCUGGAACCAAACAAAACCAGCCUCUUCCUCUUAGUUGCCCUGCCCCCCACCCCUACUUCUUCUCUUCUCCUGACUAACUCCUCCCACACUCCCCUCCCCACUUAGAGAAGUCUUCAGCUCCCUAUUAGCUCCAGGUGAUAGAGGUCGCCAGCCCAGCACUGAAAGCCCUCUGUGAUCUGGCUCACACCUGCUUUGCCCACCUUAUACUCACACACACUCCGUUCUGGUCAAACUGAUCUUCUGGCUUCUCCCCACAUAGAGCAUUCUACUCUCUAUCUGUCUUUGGACCAGUGACCUAUCCCCCAAGGCUGGCAUCAGUACCCGAAGCUGGUGACACAGAGGAUAGAGCUCCAGAUCUCAAAGUUCCAGGAAUGGGAGACGCCAAUGAAAAUACAAGGAGUGAAGACGUGGAAGGAGGCCGAUAGGAAAUCAACCCUGCAUUCCACAAUGAAAGACCCUUCAGACCCCAGGCUCAGGAAGUGAGGGGAGACAGUUGGACAUACACCCAGAGGAGCUCAGAGGCAGACAGAAAGGUGCCAUGUAUGACCAAAUAUGUCUCACGGGGCUUUCUAUUUUCAAAAUGGGUGCCCAUCCACCGGAGACUGACCGAGCAAGGUGUGAUCUCUGAAUAUUUGUCAUGAGAAAUGACGAAUAAGAAGAAUCCAAAGAAGCUUGGGAAGACGUGAACUGACAUAGAGUGAAGAAAACAGAACCCCCCAAAAAUCAAAGGAUGGUUACAACUUGAGAAAAUUAAUAGUAGCAUUUGCAGAGCAUCCCCAUGUGUCAGGUGCCAUGCUAAGCACUGUACGACGAUGACCUCGCUUGAUCCUCACAACGACCCUGG